UUGGGUUUCGGGUUUGGGCUCGGAGAAGGGAUGGGACCCUGGAGAGGAAAAGAGAGAAGGAGUAAAGCUAAUCUUACCCGAUCGAUCAGGCGAUCGUGUGUGCCGUAUCGGGAUACGAAAAUGGCAAGAGCAUGCAUUCGGCAGCAAAGCCAUUUCUAGCAUACCUCCCUCGGUAACUGUGCAGGAAUCAGAGGGGACGCGAAAGCCUCACAGCCUGUCACCCGCUCCCCCAGGAACGGUCCUCAGAACCUCCAAAGCUCUAGCUUCUAAAACAAGGCAUUCGGAGCUGAGGUUGCGGAUGGAAGUGAAUUGCCUUGAGUCGCGGGCUGCAGAAUUCUCCGAGAAAACAGGAUCUGGGAGGGCUCCUCCUGCCACCGCUGCAGCUUGUAACCACGGUUCCGGGCCCCCUUGCCUAAGCCUCCGGCACAGCGCCCCCGAAAGCGCCCGGCGACUCGGCCUCAUCCGCAUCUUCAGCCCUUAGAUUCCCCCCCGCCAAUGCAAAUCGCUGAUGAUUUGGUCAUCCUAAAGUGACCACAGUGGUUUAUUUGGGAGGGUUGGUUGUGUUGGGCUUCCUUAUUACGCCUCCCUCAGUUGCUGCGAGUGAGAGAGUUCAAGGGAAAUCCUAGUGAAAUACACUGAUGGAAUACUAUUAAUCCUAAUAAUAAUGUUCCCAACGCAGGUAACUCUUAAAGAACUGAGAGUGGGAAGAUCAGAUCAGGAUUUCCGAAGCAGUGCCCUCUUGAAUUCUCAUUGGAUCCUUCCCAGCAGCCUAAAUCAUUCUUGCUGCUGUAUCUAUCAGGAUGACUACAGCCUUGCUCACUAGUACUCUCUUUAUCUCUUGUCUUCAACACAUCCUUUUACUUCUCUCUGCAGAUUUAUCUGUAUUUCACCUCCUGUUCUCUGGGGUUCCACAGCUUCUAUUUUCCCCCACUGUAUGGGCAUGUACAGUCAGUAAAUUUUCACUUUUUCUGACUAAGGAUCGUUACAAAUAAGUACCCCCACCCCCCAAAAUAAAAGGCACCUCUUUCACAUUUUCUUUCUUUUCCUUGGGGGUUCAUGGCUUUCUGUGUAACUGGUUUUUAGUUGGUUUCAUGCCACCAGGAACUGCUGAUUUUUUCAAAGUUCCACCACCCUGCAGCUCAUCAGUACCUGAUUUGGAAGAUCAUGGAAUAUCUGUUUGAAUCCUGGAUAUAUUUUUCUCAUAGUCAUCUUGCUUCCUGAAAUGUCCUCUGGUCGAGAACGUGAUCAGCCGGUCAGAGCAGGGACCUCCUUCUGAUGGGAAUCCGUUUGGGAAACGCUGGGGAGGCUCUACCUCCGAAGAUAAGAUGCCUGUUUCGAGCUGUGUGAGAUGCCAACCAGAGGCUUGAAAAGAGGAAGAGGUGACAGGGGGUUGCAAAAUAACCCUAGUAUUGCUUACAAAUAUUCUAGCCAGUCAAAUGUAUGUAAGCAAAGAAGAAAGCAGCAGGGUAUAAAACUGUCACAGCAGCUUCGAAGACAGAUGAUUCAGAAUUUUGAGAUUUUUUGCAUGCUGUUUAGAUUUGUUUGUCAUCAUGCAGUUAAGCAGGUAAGGACUGAAUGUCUAUAUUUUAUUGACAAUCAUUUAACCUGUUUUUGACCCAUCCUGUGAUCAUUUUUCCCUGUUUCAAGCGAUGGGAUACAUGUAUUUUCAGAUGGUUCUGCUGUGAUGCAUAACUUCUUAGUAGUCACAUUCCCGAACACUUUAAAUCCAUUUAAAUGUUUAAGUUGCAUUCACUUAAAUGCUUAACAAUGUUACAAAAUUCAUAAACUGGGCAGACGUGUGAGAGGAAGAAAUGGGGAGGGUACAGAGUUGGAGGAAAGGAUGCAUAACCCUAAUGUAAAAUAGUAGUUGCAGAAAUGCCUUGAAAUAGUGCUUCUUGUUAAGGUCACAGACCUUAAUAUAAGGACAAUUGGAGAAUUAUAAAGGGCAUCUUGAACUAGCAAUUUAAUUCUGACUACCUGAGAGAAAUAUUUAGUGGGUUACAGCCCUAUUAUUUUCUCAAUUAAAAAAAAAAUUCUUGGGGUGGUGUAGAGAGCAAAAUGGAGUCUCUCAUGUCAAGCAGGAACCUGUGUCUAGCAGGGUUCUGUGUCAAUCAAUGAUUGCUAUUUAAGGUUAAGGUACUGCAGCUAGGAGAUAUCGGGGACCAAUGUCAGCUGACACCCCAGAACUGAUAAAGAGCAGAAGCUGAAGAAGUCUGCAGAGACCCAAAACAGAUUCAAUCCCUUUAGAAAGGGAAGGAUUUGGGCAGCGAACAGUCAGACCCUUCAGACUUGAGCCCUCUCUGUCUGACCACUUAAAAAAGGCAACUACUGCAGAACGCUCUGCCCCGUGGAUCUCCGAACAGAACCGAGAGCCUUCCCUGCUUGAACAACAGAAGCACUCAGUGCCGAGAGCUGACCUGGACCAGACCGAGGCCUUAUCUCAACUGUGCACCCACAGACUGACUUUGCAUUUGGUUCCUUCACUUCUGCACCCUUCUGUUAUCUUGUUUGUUGUGCGGUUUGUCUUCUGUCCUGCUCUGUGUGCUGUGUAAGAAGCCAAAUCUAAUCACACAGUGAAUUGUCAUUGAGUUUGGAAUCCCGAACCUGCUUUAUCAUUGUGAUUUAAUUUUGCUUUAUGAUUGAAUAAAGCUGACAUUGUGGAGAGACACAA